UAAAUGAUCUCUUUUCAGAACUACAGCAAAAUCAUGAAGAUGACAUUUAGCAGCAAUCCAACCCAGAAAGACAGUUGAACUCAAAUACACAACAAACUAUACUGUAGAGAGGUGGAGCUACAUAGUCAAUGAGUGCUUUGACAGUACAGUAUGUAGUCUACAAUAUGUUUGAGGAGAGGAUAAUGAUACACUCUUACUUGACAGGGCAUGAAGACAGUCAUUCAGACACCAUGAAGAUGUUUUACACAAUUCUGCUUUUUUCAAUGUUCUUAGGUAGCAGUUAUGAGGAGGAAAUAAUAUCAGCCACAACUGAAGAGCGUGUUUUUGAGGGUGGUGGGAUUACUUUAUCCUGCAACUACACUGGCUCUUACGGUAGUGAUUCUUUACUGUGGUAUCAACAAUACCCCAGAUCAAAACCAGAAUUCCUGCUCCUCAUCACUGAAGGAGGGUUAAAGACACAUAAUGAAUCGACCCAUCCUCGACUGUCUGUUAAACUGAAUGAAGAGAAGACCCGUGUGGAUCUGGAGAUCUCCUCUGCUGAAGUGACAGACUCUGCUCUGUACUACUGUGCUCUGAGGCCCACAGUGACAGGAAACCCAGAAACACUGUACAAAAACCUGACAACACACAAUAUACUGUAGAAUAAAAGCCAUAACAGACAACAUUUCACUUUGGUGUCAAGAGGAGGGGCUGUAUAAUCAAAGAUCCACAUGAAGCUUAUGGGAUUUUAUUGUUCGUUAGUUAGUCGGUCAGGUCUUUCACUGCUGUCUGUCUGUCUGUCAGUUUCUCAAAGGUCUAAGCAAGAUGUUUCUUAAACAUUAUUAUUUAUUUUUUUUAAUGUAGGAGGUAGAUCAGCUUUAAUAUUGCUGAUAGAUUGUAGCUUCUAUCAAUGCAGUUGUCUGCAUCACAAUGCCAAGAGUAUACAAAGCUGUCAUCAAGGCAAAGUUUGGCUACUUUGAAGAAUC